rnacentral:rRNA from 1 species
AGCGAACGCUGGCGGCGUGCUUAACACAUGCAAGUCGAACGUGAAAUGUAGCAAUACAGAGUAAAGUGGCGUACGGGUGAGUAACACGUGGGUAAUCUACCAAAGUGUCUGGAAUAACCGAUCGAAAGGUUGGCUAAUACUGGAUAGUUCAAGCUUGUUAUAAUGGCAAGAUUGGGAAAGGGAGCUGGCAACAGCCUUCGCAUUUUGAUGAGCUCGCGUCUGAUUAGCUAGUUGGUAAGGUAAUGACUUACCAAGGCUGAGAUCAGUAGCUGGUCUGAGAGGAUGAUCAGCCACACUGGAACUGAAACACGGUCCAGACUCCUACGGGAGGCAGCAGUGGGGAAUCUUGCGCAAUGGACGAAAGUCUGACGCAGCCACGCCGCGUGAGUGAAGAAGGCCUCGG